ensembl:lncRNA
CUUGCCAACAAAGGUCCAUCUAGUCCAAGCUAUGAUUUUUCCAGUGGUCAUGUAUGGAUGUGAGAGUUGGACUAUAAAGAAAGCUGAGCACCGAAGAAUUGAUGCUUUUGAACUGUGGUGUUGGAAAAGACUCUUGAGAGUCCCUUGGACAGCAAGGAGAUCCAACCAGUCCAUCCUAAAGGAAAUCAGUCCUGAAUAUUCAUUGGAAAGACUGAUGCUGAAGAUGAAACUCCAAUACUUUGGUCACCUGAUGCAAAGAACCAACCCAUUUGAAAAGACCCUGAUGCUGGGAAAGAUUGAAGGCGGGAGGAGAAGGAGACGACAGAGAAUGAGAUGGUUGAAUGGUAUCACCCACUCAAUGGAUAUGGAGUUUGAGUAAGCUCCGGGAGUUGGUGAUGGACAGGGAAGCCUGGUGUGCUGCAGUCCAUGGGGUCUCAGAUUGAGACACAACUGAGCGACAGAACUGAACUGAAUGUAAUGCACAUGGAAGUUUUUAGAAUAGUCCCUGGCACCAGAUAUGUCUCCUACAUUAUUACCCUCUUGGAGCCUGUAAAAUGGGGUGUCCUCACCUAAUUCUCAGGUCGUUCUGAAGGACAAAUGAGCCGAUAGAAGCGAAGCACCUGUCAGAUGCCUGGUGCACAAGAGAUGCUCACAAAUGUUCCCCAACCAGGGAUCAAAACUGCAUUGGAAGCCAAAGUGUUAACCACUGACCCACCAGGGAAGCCCCCUAUGGAUUACCACUUAUGGGAGACAUAGCAGAGACGGAUGCCUUCUCCUUCCACUCUGACCCUGAGCCCUGGAUGCAGGUACUGCCCAGCUGUCCCGAGCCGGCUCCUCUGAGUGAGUCAGCCCUGGAAACAGGUUCUACAGAGCCAGGCAAGGAGUAACCUUGGGUCACUAAUUACCUGCCUAGUCCUCUGUUUGCAAAGGACUUGUAUUACUCUUCAUCACAUCCCAUCUGUGUCAAUACUGAGAGGGAGGAGAGGGGGAGGGUUGCUGUAUCCGGGCCACACCAUGCACCUGCAGCACAGGACCAGGGCAGAUACCCUCUGCCUCCAAUCCGCCUCCAAGAAACUAUGUGAUCAAGGGUCCCUCCUGGGAACUGGAGCACAGAGAGGUGGAGUGGCACCUGGAAAGUGUAACCCAAGCAGGGCAGAGAGAAUUCUAGGCUGACAGAGUUGGAGAGCAGUGUCCCCUGUCUGUACAAAUUUGAGGUCAGG